rnacentral:rRNA from 1 species
CUACGGGAGGCUGCAGUAGGGAAUAUUGGGCAAUGGGCGCAAGCCUGACCCAGCAACGCCGCGUGCGCGAAGAAGGCCUUCGGGUCGUAAAGCGCUUUUCUGAGGGAUGAGAAAGGACAGUACCUCAGGAAUAAGCCUCGGCUAACUACGUGCCAGCAGCCGCGGUAAAACGUAGGAGGCGAGCGUUAUCCGGAUUUACUGGGCGUAAAGCGUGUGCAGGCGGUCUGGCAAGUUGGAUGUGAAAGCUCCCGGCUCAACUGGGAGAGGUCGUUCAAAACUACCGGACUAGAGUGUAUCAGAGGGAGAUGGAAUUCCCGGUGUAGUGGUGAAAUGCGUAGAUAUCGGGAGGAACACCAGUGGCGAAAGCGAUCUUCUGGGAUACUACUGACGCUCAGACACGAAAGCUAAGGUAGCGAACGGGAUUAGUACCCGUGUAGUC